AUGGAUGGGUUCAUCACAGGGACUCGUCAUGGCGCGCUUCAUCAACACCAAGAGGAGACCCCUUCAUCUUCAUGGCCGGCCCUCAAGCAAAGCAAAGGGAGGGGAUCGAAAUUGUCCAUGGACGGACGCGCUGAUGGGGACCUGAUGGAGACAGAGAAGGACCACGAGGAGGUGGCGUGGGUCGACCCUGGCGGUUGGCUCCUCCUCCAGAACCACGUGGUAGGAGAGGAGGCACAAGGACUGCUUCUUCUCAGGAUGCCGCAUCCAGGGAGCUCCGACCCUACCGCCGCUGUCAUCCAUGGAGCUCUGACCCAUGGCCAAGAACUCAAGGUAGGUUCAGACAUAGAGCCACUGUGGGGAUUCCUUCCAGUCCGACGCCACUUGGCUUCUGCUCCGGUGCCCCCGUUCUUCUUCCAAUCCAGCAAGAUGGUGCACAACAGAGCCGGCUGUGUGUGGAGUGCGCGGGAAGAUUCUUCUUCCACUCCGGCAGUCUGGUGUUAG
rnacentral:rRNA from 1 species